rnacentral:lncRNA from 1 species
AAAAUAUACGACCACCAUAUCAAAAUAAAAGCAAUAUGAAUGCAGACGGCAGCAUACCACUGCCAAAGUUAUACUCAAAUCUUCUUAAGAAACUCAAUGACAUAGGUGUUGAAAGCGGAGCAGAUGACGCGGAAACCUUUGAAGCCAGAUCCCUUAGCCAAGGCCUCAAACUCCUUCUCCGUCCGCUCUUUUCCUCCGGGAUUGUGAGCUAACAUGAUCACGUCGAUAUGGACAACUCCCUUGGUGGCAAGGCUGCUGUCUGGAGCUACUGGAAGAAUGCACUCAGCAAGAAUCACCUUCCCAUUGUCAGGGAGCGCGGUAUAACAGUUCUUCAAAAAUUUCAAGCAAUGAUCGUCACUCCAGUCGUGACAUAUAAACUGUAAGAUUGCAUACAUGAUUUGAGAGUAGUUCCAAAUUAUUAUGCAACUAAGCUCUUAUAAGAAAUUGAUAUUAGCACUACAAAAUAGUCAUCGACUCUCUUUUUGAUAAAUAAUAACUAACCUUCAUGAAAAUUGCAUCUCCCUUUGGAACACUUACAAACAUGUCUCCUCCAACAUGCUCCACACCUACAUCCAACAUCCAUAGAUCUCAUAUUCAUUAGGGAAAAUGAUAAGUAGUACAAACAUAAGCAAUAUUAGAGGAGGAGAAAUCGAACUUGAGAAAGAUCGAGGUAAAGGUGAAUGCUUUUAAGUUAUUGAACUACAAGCAUUAUCAAAAAUGAAGAAUAUACCAGGAUAUUGGGGAGCAUCUUCUAUGACAUGAGGCAGGUCGAAGUUAAUACCCUUAAUCGAGGGGUACUUAGAAACGAUCAUGUUAGUAAUAGCGCCAGUGCCACCGCCCACAUCUACGACGGAUGUGAGGCCCUCAAAGCCCUUGUAGGUCUCUAAAAGUUUUUUCAUGGUAAUGGUAGAGUGGGCAGCCAUUCCUCUGUUGAAGACCUUAUUGAAUCUAGGGUCAGUGCCAUGGUACUCAAAAGCAGUCAUUCCAUAGGCCUUGUUGAAUGGAAUUCCUCCUUCAAGAACUGCAUCUUUCAAGUGGUACCUGCACAAACCCAAAACAAGCAUACAUGUCACUCUCACAACCAAAAGCAUAUAGUAUGUGUAAAAUAACGAAACAACACGUCGUUUGAUCAGUCAUAUGGGCAUGGCUCAUAUGUGACCUAGGCCAAGCCACCUACCACGUGUUUCAAUGCCCGCAUAACUCACAAGCAUCAAAUAACAAGGGAUUGUUGACAUAAUUAUUGUAUUGAUGUGGAUUACGUUAUUUAGCAAAGCAGUAUCCUCUUAUAUUCGAGUAUACAGUUUUGUUCCGACGUUCUUAUGAAAAUUAUGGAGGAGGGGAUUUAAAUGACCUCUAACAAAUUGACCUAACUCACAUUCGAACUUUAUGAAAGAAUAAAAUAAUUAAAGUGUCAAACAAUGGAGUCAUACAAAGGAAAAAUGUUAAGAUGUAAUUAGAAUAUCCUCCAUUUUUUUUUCUAACUUGUUUAAAUUAAACAUAUGUUCCUUUACAAAAUUCGAUUGAGAUGUUUUGGUCAAUUGCCAACUAAGCAUUUUUUAAAUUUUUAAUAUAUAUCUACUUAAAGUAGCUAACAACUAAUUUCCUACUAUUUAAAAAAUUUUAAAGUCGUGGCUUUAUUAGAAUUAUCAAUUUAACUAAUUUCUCAAUGUCACUAAAAAAAGAGAAACCUUUUAUUUUUGUUAUUAUAUUUAAUUAGCCUCUUCUUCUAUUUAAAAAAGUCAUUAAUAAUUUUAGAAAAAAAAAACUUCAUUAAUUUGUUAAAAUUUUAGUAAGUUAUAAAAUAAUAUAUUUAAAACUUAUAGUACAUUUUGAAAAUAAACAUAUUGAUUUUUUAUGUUUAGAUUCUAAAUAUACUAAGGAACAAAAUGUACCAUAAAAGCAAAUAUAUCUAUAUUAUAGGUAAUCAAACGUAUCAAUAUAGUCAAUCGUACUUCUGAUAAACUUGUAAAAAAAUUUCGACAGAAAAAAAAACUUGUAAAAAAAUGUUUAAUUAAAAUUUUAAAAUAAAUAAAUAUUUAAUCACCAAAAUUGAAAAACGAGACUUUUUUUUCAAACACCUCAAAGAUUAACAAAAACAGAAACGUUUGACAUUUAAACACCAUGGUAUGGUUGGUGAAGUGAUGAUUUCCACUCCUAAUUUGGUUAAGUGGCAAUCCUAAAACAAGUGGCCCAGUCAUCAUCAAACCGUUGUUCGUAUCUUGUUCGAGUACGACGCUUAUCUCGUCCAUUUAUUAAUCUUACCUGACGAUCAAAGAAAGAAACAAAAAUAUGUCGUCUGUUUUAUGUCGUCUGUUUUAUAUCCCUAUCACUCUAAACAAGUCAACAAGUUUGGCAUCGUCCCCUCGAGUCUUCUGCCUUUCAUUAAGAUUGGACCAAUUACUAUUCUAAAAUGUUAAGGUUGAAUAGCACCGAUAAUAAUACUCACCAUUUUAUUAGAAGAAUUUAAAAUUUUAAAUCUUGUCUAAAAUAAAUAUAAAUUUCAAAACUUAAAUUAAUAAUAAAAUAAUGAGAAACAGCAAGUCAAAUUAAACGGCUUCACAGAAGAAUCUUUCGAAAACUGUGACAAGAAUGAUCAAUUUCCAGUCUUGUCUGUUCCCAACGACAAAAUUUUUAUUGUGACAAGAAAACAAGAAUACAUCACGUAGUAAUAAUUUAUUUUUUACGUUAUUAACUUUUUAACACAUAUAUUUUAUUAUUUGUAUAAUGAUAUGUGAUGUACCAUCUCGUGUGCCGGUUACAUUGAAAAAUCUUUUGUCCCCAACGACCAAAUCAGGAAUAAAAUUUUAAUUGUUACGGGACAUAGAUGGUACAACACGUGUUUUUAUGUAAGUGGUAAAAAAUUUUACUUUUUAAGUUAUUAACUUUUUAACACACAUAUUCAAUUAUUUGUAUAGCGAUACUUGGUGUACCAUCUCGUGUACCGAUCAUAUUGAAAAAUCUUUUCAAAUCGGGCAAAAGUAAUACGAGCAAAGAAGAAAAUAGUUGAGAAAGAGAAUGGUUAAGUAGAAUGUUUUAACCGUGGAAUUACUUACGUAAUCUUCGUCAUAUUAGUUUUUGACAUAAUAUUUUAUAAUAUUAAUAUAAAAAAUGUCAAAAAUUAUGAGAGGACGAAGAGUCUAUGAAGACUUUCUUUAGCAUUUCCCAAAAAGAAAUGUUAAGUAGAGUCUGCACAGACUCUGACAACUUAUGUUUUUUGCAUAAAUUUUAUAAUAUUGGUACGAAAAAUGAAUGGAAAUUGAGGUGGUAAAGAGUUUAUAGAAAAUCUCACUUUGAUAGAAUCUCUGUGUCAUAUCUCUUAGUAGAAAGGAUAAUAUUGGGUAGAUAAACUUUUUAGACAAAAUUUAUAAUUGAUUUGAUGUGUCACCAGUAAAAAUAAACAUGUUAAUCAUCAAGAUAUCAAUAAACACAAUAUAUAGUUUUAAACGAGAAAUGUUAAGACGACUCUCAUUGGACUCUUUGCCACCUUAUGUUUUUUAUAAAAUAUUUUUAUAAUACUGACAAAAAAAUUAACUUUAAACUAUAAAGUGGCAGAGAGUACGUGGAAAGUGUCACUUUAAGAGAGUCCUCUUAGCAUUUCUCUGAUAAAAUAUGUAUUAAAUAGAUAGUAUCUAUAACAUUACUCUACUCUACUAAUAAGGGUAAUGCUAGGAAAUGUUGUAAAUUAAAUGAUAUAGUUGUGAUGAUUGGAUUAUUAUUUAAAUGUUGAUUACCUUUAUUUAUUAUUGAUAAUAUAUAAUUUAAUUUGUAAAUUUAGUUUAACAAAUUAGUCUCCUUAAUAACCUCCUAAAAAUAUAGAUAACAAUCACAUACUCAAGGCCCAACUCACAGUAAGUAACAUUUUUAUGAAUUUAUUCUGAUCAACCUAUUUAAAACCCAUUAUUAAUGUUUGUUUACGAUCAAAUUAGGAUGAUAAAUUAAGAAGAAUGGUAAUUACCAGCUCUCCAUGAGGACCUUGUCCUGAUUCAUGAGGCAGAGAGGAGCAAUGGAAACACCAUCCUCGUUCUUUGUCAAGAACUUGCAGACGGGGCCGAGGCCGUACAGCUGCUCGACAUUGCCGUCGCGAAGCGUGCGGAGGGAGUAAGUGAGGAUGGAGUAGCUGGCCAGGAGGCGCAGCAUGCGGUCCAGCAUGACGGUGGCGUCAGGGUUCUUGGUCGGCAGCUGCGAAGCUAAGUCUGCCGGAGAAACGAAAGCGCCAGGCCCUGCUCUCGCCAUGAUCUCGAGGAGGUCGAGCUCAAGGGCUGCCUUGAGCACCAUGGGGAGAACAGAGGCGCUGGCUAGCUGCAUGGCGAAGAGGUUUGCUUCUUCGUCGGAAACUUGCGUUGGAGUCAUCUGAGUCUCUACGGUCGAACCCAUUUUUUGGAUUUGGUGUUGGAGGGGAGAGAGAGAGAGAGAGAGAGAGAGAGGAAUGAGGGUAGAAGAGAUGGGUGUUCUAACUGGCAAUAUAUAGGGAUUUGUUUGCUCACCCACCGCUUUUGAUGUGGUACCUAGGUGUCGACCACCAUGCAGGACCUCACAUGCCUCGCACAGGUCUUCUCUUUUUAAGGACUGGUUUGGUAUUGCUAUGUUUUAAGAAAAAACUACUUCUGUUAUGCUGUGAUAAUAAGUUCAUUUUUACUGCUUUACGUUUUCAGCUUUUUUUUCAUCCAAAACUGUGAAAAUAAGCUGUUUUUAAGUGUUUACCAAACAUCUUUUUGAGCUCAGUUUUUUUUUUAUACCCACUUUUUAUAAAAACACAUCAGUACCAAACCAGUACUAAGUAUGGCUUUAUACUGUAUUCUUUAUCUGGUUUUGUUUUGUUUUAUUUCUUUUUAGGGAUUCUUAAGACCAAAUCCAACUCGGGGCUAAAUGCUAUUUUUUAGGUUUUAUUCCCCCCAAACCCAACCCAACUCAUGCUAAAUGUGUGGGCUAAAAGCUAAAAGCCAAAUUCCUCCUAGGAUUUAGCCCAGAAAAUGGUGUGGGCACCACCAACGGAAGCUCACCCACAUGGGCAUGUCUCCCAAAAUUUAUUGAAUCAAACGGCUGAGAUCAAAUAUAAUCAAAUCUAAUGGUAAAAAAAAGAUCUAACAACCUAAAUUUAAAUCCAACAGCUAAAAUAAUUUUAAAAAAAUAUUUAACUCAAAAUUCACCCAAAUUUAGUGAUUUUUCAAUAUUUAUCGGAAUUUAAAUAUUUUUAGGUUAAAAUGUUCAAAAAAUUAAAUUAUGAUACAGUACAUAAUUAUUUUAUUUUUUUUAAAAUUAGCCUAAAUUUAUUCUUUAAUAAUCUUAGGCUAAAAAAUUUAGGCCAAAAGGGUUGGAACAGAAAAACUGUUUAUGGGCUAAAACUUAAAUUUUUUGGGCUAAAUUUUUUAUGUUUUAGCCCAAGGGUUGGAGAUAGUCUAAGAGUAUUUAUUCUUAUAUUUAAGGUAGAAAAUUGUUAUAAGCACUUCAAAAAUUUCAUUUGGUACUCUAAACUUUAUAUAAUUAAAAAUAUAUAUAUACUUAUGAUGAGUGUAGAAUGAGAUUUUUGUAGUGCUAAUAAAAAUUCCCUUAAGGUAUUGUGUUUAAUAUUUUUCCCUCUUAGUUUUGUUUUUGAAAAAUAUAUGAACAAACUUAAUGAUAAUUUACAUAUCCAAACUUUGAGGGCAAGUUAGGGCGCAAUAGUAAUGUUGGUCCUUUGUAAUCGGAAAGUUAUAGGUUCGAGUCGUGGAAACAGUCUAUUUACAAAGUAAGAAUAAUAGUGCGUACGAUAAACGUUUAUCACCGCAAAGCGGAAAGUCUUGUUGGCUUGCGGGCCCCUUACAAAUCCAAAACUUUCCUAUCAAAAAGUGUAGUUUACUUCAAUACAAUGUAUACUCGAUGGUUUAAAGUAACGCGAACGCAUUUCACACUAGUACAUCUACUGAUAUAUUGUUCUCCUGGAGUUGGAGUUGGGAGAACUGGAAAAAAGAAGUGAAUUGCUCCUUUUUGAAGUCCUUGUAGCUGGUGAUAGAGCAUAGUUUACAAUAAGGUCGUUGUUAUUUAUUUAUUAUAUGUUAUGGUGUUUGAAAAGUUUUUAAGUCCAAAGUUUUUCUCCCUAGUUGAUCCGGCAAAACAAGUUACUUAAUCCAAGAAUUUUGAAAUGAAACAAAGAGGCUUGAAUGUCAUUGGACAAAAUAUAAAGGCUUUUUAGCCAAAAUGGUCAUUGAGAUCUGCAUAAUACAUCAUUUUGGUCCCUGAGAUUGAAAAUCAAUAGAAAUAGUCCAUGAGAUUGUUCACCAUCCAUUAUUUUUGGUUAUUCCGUUAAAAACUCCGUUAAGUGUCCGAGAGCUCUUGGCCAGAAGUUUGAACAAUUUUAAAAGCUUCGUAACUCAAUCGUUUCUUAACCAAAUUCAACUCAUAAUAUAUCAAAUGAAAAUAAGAAAGUGUAGAACAAGAUUAUACCUAUUUUGAAGCCCAAUGGUUGUAGAAGAUGGCCGGAAAAUAGCCUGAAAUGUGACUGGUCUGUGGAAAAAUUGGAAAACUCGUCGGAAACUGGGUAAACUUUAAACGUUCAUAACUUCUUUAAUACUCAACUAAAUCGAGUGAUUUCAAAAACGAAAAUCAUACUUCUUAACGAGAUGAAGAGAAUGGUACAUUUUUAUACGGAUAAUUCGCCAUGGUUUGACCGAAAAAUGACUCGAAAGUGGCUAAUUCGAGACCAAGACAACCACGUCAAGAAAUGUAUCAUUCUCUUCGUCUCAUCAAGAAGUAUGAUUUUUGUUUUUGAAUCACUUGAUUUCGUUGAGUAUUGAAGAAGUUAUGAACGUUUAAAAUUACCUAGUUUUCGACGAGUUUUCCAAUUUUUCUGCGGACCAGUCACCAUUCAGGCUAUUUUCUGGUUAUCUUCGGCAACCAUUAGGCCUCCAAGUAUGUAUAAUCUUGUUCUACACUUUCUUAUCUUCAUUUUGAUAUAUUAUGGGUCGAAUUUGGUUAAAAACGAUUGAGUUACGAAGCUUUGAAAAUUGCCCAAACUUUCGGCCACGAGCUCAUGAAUACUUAACGGAGUUUUUAACAGAAGGACCAAAAUAAUUGAUGUUGGACAAUCUCAGGGACCAUUUCUAUUGAUUUUCAAUCUCAGGGACCAAAGUGAUGUGUUAUGCAAAUCUUAUGGACCAUUUUGGCUAAAAAGUCAACUAUAAAAUAGCAAUUUGCAUGGAAUGAAUAUAUUGUUAUUGUGCUACUUCAGUUCAAUAAUGUAAUGAAAUACCUAAAAUAAUUUACACUAACAUUAUAUAAUAGAAAUGAAACGUCACGUGAUGAUAAACACGUUCCAUAUAAAUCUUUACAGUAUUCUUGAUCAAGCAUCAUAAGUAUGGUGAUGUUAAUUACCUUAGACAACAACUGUGCCUUCUCCAUAAUAAUUCAGGUAUUGUUCGAUUUCUUGGACUCCAUUUAAGCUGAAAUGGUUUGGUUCUCUUGCUUCAUUGGGACAGUAGUCUAGAAGAGUGCAUGUACCAUCAUUUGCACACAUAAAUUGUGUGGGUGAGUUGAUUAGAGCAGUUUCACUCGACAAAUGCAAUAAUUGUCUAGGUAAUUAUUGUCUAAGUGAAUAGUAAUUAUCUAAGCGUUUUUUUAUUUCGUAAAAUAAAUUGCCCAUGUAGUUGACAUUAAAAAAUUAGUAUAAGUUUGUUUUGUUUCGAAUAAGAUUUUAACAAAUCAUGUCACGUCAUGUGUGAUUAUUCAAAAUUAAAAUUUUUGUGGAAAUAUUUUCGAUUAGAUUUUUAACGAAUCUCAUAGUGCCACGUGUCAUGAUCCUGUAAUUUUAUUUUUUAUAAUUUUUAAUAUUUAUUUGUUGCGUAAUUAAUAUGAACCGUUGGAUUGCAAACCAACCCAUAUUAUGCCGUGUGGGCCAAAUUAGUAAGUGUCUUGUUUUAGAUUUUGCUUUUAUUUUUUUUCUUGAAAAAAAUUGGAUAUAGAAACUUUAUGUAAAUUGAACUGUUGAGGGUUGAGUGUACUUGCAGCGCGGGCCCCAGCGCUGCAGGUUUGGUUAGUUGACUCACCUUAAACUACAUGCGCUUGACACAAAAAAAUAAAAAAUAAAAAAAUAAAAACACACAUAGAACAUUGCUAAUGCCAGUUCCACUUAGGCUUUGAGUUGAGCUAUUCCUGGCCGAUUGAGCAAUCGGGCUCUACUUCCUUCCACUGUAGCUCGACUCAUUGGCCUGGGGUGUGAAGGAUUUUGGAGGUUUUGAGGGAUUUAGUCACCCAACUGCUUGAGCAAUUGAGAAGAGUAGACUUGCUCUUAUUGCCGUUAUUGUUUUGUAAGUCACACUCACACACACACGAUUACAAUCAAUUUCAAAAAUUAAUCUAAAAAAUCCUAUGAAAAUUGAUCACAUUUCAAUGAUCCAAACAGAAAAGGUUAAUAGGUUAAUAAUUUAUGGACAUCAAAUAUACUAUAAUAAUUUCAAUAUCUGCUCAAACUAAUCACUGAUAAAAACUCCAUUAGGUAAGUCGAUAAAUGGUGUUAUUUAAUUGGCUAGGGUUUGACAAACGAAGGGAAUCACCGUCACAUCUCACCUAAUUUUUGAACAUGUUGACGACGGGUCGGAAUUCGGAUGCAGCUCUUGGUGACCAAAACAAAUUGCAAUUCCACCUCUUAGUUGGACCCUUCACUUUUUGUCUGGAAGAAAAGUAAUCUUUCCAGAGAUAAAAAAAUAGGUUCGUGAAAAUUGAGAACCAAAAGAAUUGCAAAGGUCUCCCCUCUUUAACAAAACUUCUUCACCAACCUUGCAAAAGGAUUAAAAAUCUAAGAGAGUAUAGUUGUGCAACGUGUUUAAUUAAAAUAUUUGUUCACCAAUUUAACCUUUCAUUGAUUAGUUUGCGCUUUCCACAGUCCAAUUGAAUAAAGUAGGAUGUGUAUGAUGUUGACUGUUCCACUAAAUACAUUAUUAUCACUGCUAUAAAAUAUAUUUGUUCUCCUGACAUGAACAGUGGAGAUUGCACCAAAGGGUUUUAAAUUUAACUAUUUGAGUAACGUGCAACAUUAUUUAUUCUCCCAGACUAUAAUGUGCUGGAAUCCUUCAUCCACCAUUAUCGUUUGUAAUUUGGUGGCCAAAGCUUCUAACAAAACAUAAUACAAAGAUGUCCAUACCGUUAAUAGGUUUAUGGGGACUGGAUAUGUUAGGUCAUAGUAUCGUUCUCUUUUGAUAUAUACGGUAAUUUUUUUUAAAGCAAUCCUCUGUAAUGGUGAAUAAUCUCUUUUAAAGUCACAAAAAAUUAAUGUCCCAUGUAUGACCAGUUCCCUAUAUUGUAAUAAGUUAUAAUUUUUCUUGAUCCCAUUUUAAGUAAAGACGUCUCCACAUAGUUAUAAAUAAUUGUCAAUGAAUGCAAGAAUAUGCAAAAAUAUAAAAUAAUUGGGGCCCAACAAAUCUUAUUUAGGAAAUACAUAAUAAUGGGAUCGUGGGUCAAGUAUGUUCUUGAACUGAAAGAUUUGAACCUCCGAAUAGCAGCAUUCAUUAAGGAUAAAUAAUAUUUCAGGUAUGUAAUGGAAUAAACUCUAUAUUGUAACAAAUUAUAAUUUUUGUUUGUCUCAUCUUGAGAAAGCACGCAUCUACAUAGUUAUAACUGUCAAUGAUUACAAAAGUAUACAAAAUAUAAAAUACUUGCCGUUCAAAGAAUCCUAUUUAGGAAAUAAACAUUCAUCAAGGAUAAAUAAUUCAAUAAAUAAUGUUUUUAAGUACACCCUCUAUUUAGUAAUAACCUCUCUAAAAUUAUAAAACUGGUUUGGUUCAAACUGUAUAACUUUAAAGAGGUUGUAUUGUGUUGUGUUUACUUACACGCAAAGAAUGAAAAAAAAACAAAUGGAUCUUAUGUUGAAACAAAGUAUGUCGCACAUAAAGAAUCUGAAAUAAAAUUUCAUAUCGGAACAAUCAGGUAUGAUUUUCAAUCAUGACUUCUACUACUCCAAAUACGUAAGUAAUGAUGAAAUAAACAAACAAAAUCCACUCACUAAUCCCUAUCUUGUACACACUUAAACAUGUGUUAAGUAGAUGAUUUUCAAUCAAUCAAUCAUACAAUUUGUAAUUAUGAUCUAGUUUUCUUUUCCUUUCCAGGGAGAUGUGUGCAUGCCCAAUUAAUAGCAAGCAAAUGACGUCAUUCCAUUGCAUGGAUUAUCCAUACCACAAAUGUCAGGCCCCAAUAAUUUUUAAUUUUGGUCUGGGCCAGUUUGGACAUUGAUAAUUCACAAUUUUGGGCCAGCCUAAGUUGUCGUCUGAAAUCUCGUACACUGCCACUAUUCGAUAGAUGCCGGUCCUCCUUUCCAUUUUAAACGAAGUGGUGAUUGCGUCGAGAGCCUAAACGUGACUGUUUAUCCGGAUCAGUUGACGAAAAGAGAUUCAAAAAAUUCAAAAUCCUGGGUGAGAGAAAAUGAGCGAAAUCGGAAUCGAUGUCAAAGAGAUUAAUCUGUCGUCGACGACGCUGUCACGCGAGAAGAAGGGAGAGACAGCCGAGAAAACUCCCCAGAAAGCUCCGUCGUCUUCUUCUGCGGAGGACGAGGACGGGAGUCCAAUCAGGCACAUUGUCUGUGUCAAAAACAAGGUCGAUGUCAAACACUUUGAGGACGUCGAGGACUGCUUCAUCUUGGAUUUCGACCCCUUUGAGCCGGUGCAGUUUUCCAAGUUGUCCGUGUCGGAUAAUGGUGGUGGUGGCGGUUCUCCCGAUGUCACUGUUGUUGCUGAGAAAGGACAGGUUUUGAUUUUUACCGUUGACCCUUUUGAUUUGUUGUGUUAAUUUUCUUUCUUCUGUUUGGUUGCUGGGAAAAUGCAGGUGAAGAAUUGAAUUUGAAAUCAUAACCCCAUGUUACAUAUGACCCCCUUCUAGGGUUUUGCGAAAGAAAGGAAAUUUUUAAUCAAAUUUCUUUCUUUGUUGUUGUGUUUGGUUGCUGGGAAAAUGCAGGUGAACAAAAUGUAUUAGAAAUUGUAACGCCAUUGUGAUAUUUUGCCUAUGAACCUUCAGGUGUUUGACCUCAAAAGAUUUUAAAUUUAUAAGAAACUUUUCUGCUUAUCUGUUCAUAUUCCAAUUUUUGUAAAUUUAUGAGCUAAUUUGGUGAAUGUCUGAUGGCUCGUGUGGAUUUGAAUUGAUGCUGUGUAGGUUGCUUGUAGAGACUAUCCACAUUCAAGACACCUCUGCCUGAAAUUUCCUUUCGAGACGACACCCCAUGAGAGCUACUGUGAGCUGGUAACAGAGUUUUACAACUUCAAAUAUUUGCAUCUUGUGAAUGUAUCCCCGAUUCCCUCUCUAUAUUGUCUAACUUGGCAUCUCAAAAGUGAACUCACUGAUUGUAUGUAGUGCUACUGCUAUGUUUGCGAUUCUUCCGCUCCAUGCGGGUUGUGGAAACUAUCACAUUGCCACGCCGCUGCGCACAUCAGUGACUGGAAGUGCAAAAGGAUGAUGAAACAGCAAGCCACGGUGAAGAAAUGAACAAAGCUCCCGUUGUUUAGCCGUAUUGCGGAUAGCGGUGUAUGAAAAAUACCAGAAAAGUGAACUGUUGUUUUACUAUUAGGCGGUCAAGUUCAUGUAAUUUUGUUCAUAGGGAGGGUACUUGAAAUGGCUUUUGUUCUGACCCGAAGAGAUGUAGUUACUAAUGAACUUACGAUGUUGGUAGAAAUGGAAUCAAAUUUGAUUAGUUCAAUUCGAAUUGAAUUGAAUCUGAUUGUUGUGAAGAAAUCUCACUUGCGGUCAAUUCUUUUAAUUAACUUUAAUUCUAUCUGUUGAGAGAGUUGUUUACUAAGGUAAAAAAUUGCGCUACAACGUUGAUGUUUGAGAAGAGAAUGCUUUAAAUGAUGAUUUUAUUCUUCUCAAUGAGAGGUAUUUAUACAAGGUGUACAACCCUAAUGUAAUCGGAAGAAAACUAAUUACAUGAGAUUACAGGAGAUUACACAUAAUUGAUAUCAUUUAGGAAUCAUACCUAAAAUACAAAGCCAACACUCCCCCUCAAGUUGGUGCAUAUAUGUUACUCAUGCCCAACUUGUGUAAAAAACAUGAAAACUUAUGACUUGAAACAGCUUUCAUGAGGAUAUCUGCCAACUGAUCCUCUGUUCUUAUUGUCGGUAGCUAAAUUAUUUUUUCUUCUGAUUUUUCUUUGAUGAAGAACCGAUCAACUUCAACAUGCUUUGUUCUAUCAUGUUGUACCGGAUUAUGUGUAAUAUACCCAAAUCACAAAGCAGGAGCUUAAGCCAUAGAAUUUCACAAAUCCCCAAGGCCAUACCUCUAUAUUAAGCUUCUGCAAUGGAACAGGCAACCACAUUCUAUUUCUUACUUCUCCAUGUAACCAAGUUGUCCCCAACGAAUGUAAGGUAACCUCAUGUUGAGCCUCUAUCGUCAAUCGAACCUGCCCAAUCUGCAUCAAUAUAACAUUAAACUCUAAUAUGAUUAUUCCUUUUAAACAAAAUUCAUUUGCUGGACUUCCUUUCAAAUAUCUCAAAAUUCUCAUCACUGUAUUCAUAUGUUGUUCUUCGGGAUCAUGCAUGUAUUGACUUACUACACUUAAGGCAUAAGCAAGGUCCGGUCUUGUGUGUGCCAAGUACAUUAAACGACCUACUUUUGGUAUCUCCCUUUGUCAACUGGUACUUGAUUAGGAUCAACACUAAGCUUCAAUCAUUCAUCUAAUGGUGUAGCUACUAGUUGACAAGCUGACAUGCUGGUUUCGUGCAACAAAUCAAUAAUAUACUUCCUCUGUGAUAAGAAAAUUCCCGAACUGCUUCUCGAUCCUCAAUCCCCAUAUAAUAUUUCAAGGAUCCAAGGUCCGUCAUCUCAAAUUCUGUAGACAAAUAUCUUUGCAAGGCCGCACGUUCUUCUGGGUCAUUACCUAUUACCAACAUAUGAUCUACAUACAUAAUAAGUGCAGUAAGUUUUCCAUUUCGUCUUUUCAGGAACAUAGUAUGAUCGGAGUUACUUUGUUUGUAGCCAAAUGCUUUCACAGAUUUUUUGAAUUUUCCAAACCAUGCCUGAGGGGAUUGCUUAAAACCAUAUAAGGAUUUCUUCAACCUACACACUUUUCUUUUGUAUUUAUCUGGAGCAUUACAUCCUGGUAGAAGAUCCAUAUAAAUCUUUUCGGUUAAGUCUCCAUGCAAGAAAGCGUUCUUCACAUUGAACUGUUGUAAGGGUCAAUUAAGAUUUGCAGCCAAUGACAACAAAACACGAACUGUGUUGAUCUUGGCUAUAGGUGCAAAUGUAUAUGUGUAGUCGAUUCCAUAUUUUUUAGUGUAUCCUUUUGCUACCAGUCUUGCCUUGAAACGAUCCAUUGUCCCAUCUGCUUUGUAUUUCACAGUAUAAACCCAUUUGUAUCCCACAGGGUUCUUGCCAGCUAGCAAAUAUGUGAUCUCACAGGUAGAAUUCUUCUUCAAAGACUUCAACUCAUCAUUCAUUGCUGCUUUCCAACGUGCAUCAGCUAAAGCUUCCUGCACAUUGUUAGGAACAGAUACAAUAGAUAAUUGAUGCACAAACGACUUAUUUGAUUCUGAUAGGUGACUGAUAGACACGUAAGUACUUAACAUGUAUAACACAUUAGACUCAGGGUUGGGGUUACUCACCAGAUACCUAGUUUUACAUUUAGGGUCGGCUUCAUAAGUAAGUUUAGGAAUACCUUGAUUGAUGCGAUCAGGGAAACGACGUGGUGGUGGUGCAUCCAAGAUCGAAGACGAUUGAUUAUGGUUAUUGGGACGCAAGAUCCACUAUGAGGUAACUGGUGACACAGGUCCUGUAGUGAGGAAACUGGCAGUGAGCUAUCAGGCAGUGAGUUAUCUGGCGAUGUCGACUUGUCCCUUUCAAGGUUUUCAACAUUGUUUCCAUGUGAAAGAUCACUACUUGUCUCCCAGACAUUACCACUUAAUUCCAAGUCAUUCACAUCAUUGUUUUCGUGUGAAUGAUCACCACUUAUUUCCAAGACAUCACCACUUAAAUCCAAAUCAUUUACUCUAUCUAUAUCUGGAAUAGUAUAACAAGAGUUUGAACUUCUUUCUGAUUCUCCUCUCGAAGUGAAGACUCGGGAUUGGUAAAGUACAUAUCAUUCUCAUGAAACGCAACAUCCAUAGUGACAAACAACUUAUUCGUCGGAGGGUGAUAACAACGGUAUCCCUUAUGCCUUGAUGCAUACCCCAGAAACACACAUCAUAAAGCCUGAGGUUCAAGCUUACUUCGUUGUUGUUUGUGAAGAUGAACGAAAGCCACACAACCAAACACAUGAGGUGGAAGACUAGGGACUGUAGAAGCAUCAACAUGUCAAGAAAGUGCCUAAAAGGGUGUUUGAAAAUCUACAGAUCGGGAUGGAACACGAUUAAUGAGAUACGCAGCUGAGGUGAGAGCUUCUCCCCAAUAGGAUAACGGAAGACACGCCUCAAGUAAAAAAGCAUGAACAACCUCCAGAAGCUGACGGUUCUUGCGUUCAGCAACCCCAUUUUGUUGUGGAGUAUAUAGACAUGUAGUUUGAUGAACAAUCCCAUGAUGAUCAAAAAAGGCACGAAGUUCAGAGUUGACAUAUUCACCACCAUUAUCACUCCUGAGAAUUUGUAUUUGUGACUUAUAUUGUACUUGUACCAUUUUGUAAAACUGCUGAAAUAAAGAAGUAACUUCACUUUUGGAUUUCAUCAAACAAACCCAAGUCAUACGUGUGCAGUCAUCAAUAAAAGUAACGAACCAAUGAAUACCACCAAAUGUAACAGUUUUAGAUGGACCCCAAACAUUAAAAUGAAUUAUCAUAAAUGGAAUAGAACUUUUAUUCAAAUUGGAUGGAAACGAAGCACGAUGACUUUUAGCUAGUUCACAAACCCCACAUUUAAAGCUAGAAACAUCAUGCUUAACAAAUAGGCUAGGAAACAACCUCCAUAAAUAGCCAAAAGAAGCAUGUCCAAGUCGACGAUGCCACAACCAAAUCUUUGAAGCUUUAUUCCUAUCCCCUUGAUUUCCUUCCACUGCAAAAGCUUGAGUCAACAUGCAAGAAUUGUUUGAUGUCAGCUCCAAGUAGUAGAGCUUCCCCUUCCUAAUACCAUAACCAGUCGUCUUGCGAGUCCGAAUGUCUUUAAAAACACAAAAGGAAGGCCAAAAAAAUCACAAGACAAUGUAGGGCGACAAUUAUUUGAGCAACAAAUAAUAAAUUAUAGUCAAGAGAAGGAAUAACGAGUACAUAAUCAAAAAUUCAGGGUAUUAGAAAGUGAGACAUCACCUUCUCCGAUAAUGGGGGCAACAUUACCAUUGGCGACACUCACGACAGUUUUGGGGGAUGGUUUUAGGGUUUGUACCUGUCUAUAAUCACAAGUCAUAUGUUCAAUAGCACCCGAAUCAAUUAUCCAUGUAUUAUUCGUAACAGAUGCAAAAACUUUUAAAGCCUUACCAUCAUUACCUGUAUCAUUAAGAAAGGCUGACACUUUCUCGGCUAUAUAUUCAGAAUGAUCUUAGCUUCGGUAAUCGAGGCCAUUCCAAAAUAGUUAUAAUCAGUAUGCGAGUCCUUGAUUGAUGCAGCCUAGACCUCCAAGCAAACUGAGCCCAAGAAACCAAUCAGUAUGGGCCAACAAGGUAGCCCACCAACGACAGAACAAGAAAGAGACCAAUUUACAAAUAAAGCUGAUUUUUUUCGUUUUCUUUUUAUUUUUUCCUUUUUUUCUCUUCUUCUUCUUUUUUUCUUUUUUUUUUCUCUUCUUUUUUUUCUUUCCUUUUUUUUUCUUUUAAAACAAUACAAAACUUAAAUAAAAGCUGGUGCGGGUCUGCAGUCUUGAAGCAGCAGGGGUUGUCUGGAUUUUUUUAUUGCAGCAGCGAUCUCAGGUAAGUUCGCAGGUUAGGCUCUCCGGCGUGAUGCGGAUGAGUCAACGAAUUUCUUCAGGCGAGUUCAACGGAUUUCGGACAGCAGUAGGUCGUGGAUCAGGAUUUUUUUUUUCUUCCGGGUUUCAGUCGAAGACGGAUUGGACACGCAGAGAUGCCUUAAAUUUGAAACCGUAAAAAAUAGUGAUUCUUUGAUGAAUAUCAACCAUUCCCAUAAAUGAGAUCAAAGUUAAAUAAUAUUAAUUGUGACAGUGACAGAGAUUUUCUCAAAACUCAAGUUUUUUCACGAAGAAAAAACAUUGCAUAGAGAGAAUCUCAAAUUGUCAAUUUGUACGUGUAAUUGUAAAAUCAAAAUUAUGGGUUGGUGCAAGCUCUAAGUAAUUUGUCCGUCGUACACCAGGUUUUUUCAUGUUUUACACCCCAUUGCAAGCGUAUCCAAAUUUAUAACAUACAACGAACAUAAAAUCACUUUCUUAUUACUUUUUUAUUUAUUUGUAACAUAUAAACCUAGUUAUGGUGAAAAAUAUGCUACCACCCUAUCAAAAUAAAAGCAAUAUGAAUGCAGACGGCAGCAUACCACUGCCAAAGUUAUACUCAAAUUUUCUUAAGAAACUCAAUGGCAUAGAUGUGGAAAGCGGAGCAGAUGACGCGGAAGCCUUUGAAUCCAGAUCCCAUAGCCAAGGCCUCAAACUCCUUCUCCGUCCGCUCUUUUCCUCCGGGGUUGUAACCUAACAUGAUCACGUCGAGAUUGACAACUACCUUGGUGGCAAG